GAUGAACGCUGGCGGCGUGCCUAAUACAUGCAAGUCGAGCGAACAGACGAGGAGCUUGCUCCUCUGACGUUAGCGGCGGACGGGCGGGUAACACGUGGAUAACCUACCUAUAAGACUGGGAUAACUUCGGGAAACCGGAGCUAAUACCGGAUAAUAUAUUGAACCGCAUGGUUCAAUAGUGAAAGACGGUUUUGCUGUCACUUAUAGAUGGAUCCGCGCCGCAUUAGCUAGUUGGUAAGGUAACGGCUUACCAAGGCAACGAUGCGUAGCCGACCUGAGAGGGUGAUCGGCCACACUGGAACUGAGACACGGUCCAGACUCCUACGGGAGGCAGCAGUAGGGAAUCUUCCGCAAUGGGCGAAAGCCUGACGGAGCAACGCCGCGUGAGUGAUGAAGGUCUUCGGAUCGUAAAACUCUGUUAUUAGGGAAGAACAAAUGUGUAAGUAACUAUGCACGUCUUGACGGUACCUAAUCAGAAAGCCACGGCUAACUACGUG
rnacentral:rRNA from 1 species